UGCCUUCCUCAAUAACCUUCUUGCUCCGUUUCUCUAGGUACUCGAAUCACUGCAAUUGUCUCAUUUAACAUUCUACAAUUGCAGAUCAAUUUUUAUCCAUUGAUGGCAACCGAUUCUUCAAGGAACGCGAGAUUUGCUCCAAAGAGAGGAAAGAUCAAAGCUCAGAUUUUUGAGAGCAUGGUCAAGAAGGUGGUCUCUGUCUUCUCCGAUGCAGGAGUGGCACCGAGAGAAAACAAGGAAGAAACUGGCAAGGGAGGAGGCUCCGCCUCUGUUUCCCCGCCGCCGAGCGCCUAUAGCUCUGACGGGAAUACUGAUAUCUCCUAGACGUCAUCAGAUGCCUCAAUUCUCUCUGAAUUGCUCUCCGAUACCAAGAGCUGGUGAUUUGUUGUUUAAUACAAAUCACAGCUUUUCAUUGUGUUUUACUUACAUACAUACAUAUAUAUAGGGUCAGCGUGUUGUUUGGUCUAUUUAUUGUUACAGGACUGAAGAUGGGGAUGACGUGGGUGGUUUUUGAAGGACUCAUGGUCAUGGAGCCGGUUUUAGCAAGGCUGCUGUAACCCCCAUCUAAGGUUGCUGUGCAAAUCAGUGUCGUUUACUUGUAUUCUGAUGUCAAGUUGUAAUCCUUCAAUGUUACUAUUUUCUCGAAGUUUUAGAGAGGAAAUGAUUGUAUUGGAGGAGGUUUUAUUUGGCCUGGUUUAUAUAUCAGGGGUGUCUUUGGCUUUGUAAUUUUUCCUUUGUGUGAUGUGUAAUUGUUAGUGUCAUAUUGAAUAAAAUGGCUUUAGAGCUUGUUGUUUGAUCUUUAAA